CUGCUCCUGAGGGGCCGCAGCCUGUGGGCAGCGUGGAGGAGCCCCACGGGGAACCUCCAGCAGUACUGAGGAGUGCUGACUCCAGAAAUGGAUAGUGAACCCCUUGGGAAUCAGUUUCAUACCAGGAAGCUCCAUCAAGGAUGUGAAGAAGAUGAAUAAGAUGCUGUGCUGUGUUGCUGAUUAGAUAAAAGUUACUCAAGACUUGAAUAUUGGAAAAAGCCCAGUCUGACAGCCAAAAAGCCAUAAAGCAAGUGCUGUAGUCACACCUCGGGUCAUCCUGCUCUGGGGUGUGACCCACUCCUGUCGCAGGCCGAAGUGACAGAGCCAGCAGAAAUACUGAUGUGCUUUGGUAAUAUGAAAGAAGAUAGUACACAAAUCAAUACUUCCCAUUCCACAAGUUCCAUUACAUCUAAUUUCAAGCAUCUGUGACAUAGAAAUUGUUUGUGUCAGAGAGGAAUAGAAGGAAAAACAGCUAUCAGCACCACAACACUGAGAACUGAGAAUGUGGUCUCUGAUGAAACAUACUGAAAGGCCAUUUCACAGAGACGCUGCCAAUGGAUUUUUAAUGCCACCAUUGCUGCCAAAGUACACUGCAACCCAUCAACUUAUUUCAUAUUGAGUUGUCUGUAGACCCAGUGUGGUAUGCCAGAUAUGAUUCAGCUGACUACAUUCACGUAACAUUAAAUGUAUGUGUUUUCAACAGAAUAAAAAUAAAAU